CGAGCCUGAGCAGCACGCCGCGUGAGUGAUGAAGGCCUUCGGGUUGUAAAACUCUGUCUUUGGGGACGAUAAUGACGGUACCCAAGGAGGAAGCCACGGCUAACUACGUGCCAGCAGCCGCGGUAAUACGUAGGUGGCAAGCGUUGUCCGGAUUUACUGGGCGUAAAGGAUGCGUAGGUGGAUAUUUAAGUCAGAUGUGAAAUACCCGAGCUCAACUUGGGUGCUGCAUUUGAAACUGGAUAUCUAGAGUGCAGGAGAGGUAAGUGGAAUUCCUAGUGUAGCGGUGAAAUGCGUAGAGAUUAGGAAGAACACCAGUGGCGAAGGCGACUUACUGGACUGUAACUGACACUGAGGCAUGAAAGCGUGGGGAGCAAACAGGAUUAGAUACCCUGGUAGUCCACGCCGUAAACGAUGAGUACUAGGUGUAGGAGGUAUCGACUCCUUCUGUGCCGCAGUUAACACAAUAAGUACUCCGCCUGGGAAGUACGGUCGCAAGAUUAAAACUCAAAG
rnacentral:rRNA from 1 species